GAGUAACGCGUGAGUAACCUGCCUUCAAGAGGGGGAUAACAUUCUGAAAAGAAUGCUAAUACCGCAUGACAUAUCGGAACCACAUGGUUUUGAUAUCAAAGAUUUUAUCGCUUGAAGAUGGACUCGCGUCCGAUUAGUUAGUUGGUGAGGUAACGGCUCACCAAGACCGCGAUCGGUAGCCGGACUGAGAGGUUGAACGGCCACAUUGGGACUGAGACACGGCCCAGACUCCUACGGAGGCAGCAUG
rnacentral:rRNA from 1 species